GGUUGUAGCUCAGUGGAAGAGUGCUUGCCUAGCAUGUGUGAGGCACUGGGUUCAAUACUCAGCACCA
rnacentral:tRNA from 1 species